GACAGAGGGUGCAAGCGUUGUUCGGAAUUAUUGGGCGGAAAGGGCGCGUAGGCGGCUGAGCAAGUCGAACGUGAAAUCCCUGGGCUUAACCCAGGAAGUGCAUUUGAUACUGCUCAACUUGAGUCCCGGAGAGGGUGGUGGAAUUCCCAGUGUAGAGGUGAAAUUCGUAGAUAUUGGGAGGAACACCGGUGGCGAAGGCGACCACCUGGGCUAACACUGACGCUCAGGCACGAAAGCGUGGGGAGCAAACAGG
rnacentral:rRNA from 1 species